rnacentral:rRNA from 1 species
AGUCGAACGGUAACAGGCCUAGCUUGCUAGGCGCUGACGAGUGGCGGACGGGUGAGUAACGCGUAGGAAUCUGCCUUGUUGUGGGGGAUAACCUGGGGAAACUCAGGCUAAUACCGCAUAAGCCUUACGAGGGAAAGGAUGGGAUCUUCGGACCAUUCGCGACAAGAUGAGCCUGCGUCAGAUUAGCUUGUUGGUGAGGUAAAGGCUCACCAAGGCGAAGAUCUGUAGCUGGUCUGAGAGGACGACCAGCCACACUGGGACUGAGACACGGCCCAGACUCCUACGGGAGGCAGCAGUGGGGAAUAUUGGACAAUGGGGGAAACCCUGAUCCAGCAAUACCGCGUGUGUGAAGAAGGCCUGCGGGUUGUAAAGCACUUUCAGUGGGGAGGAAUGGCUGAGCGUUAAUAGCGUUCAGAGAUGACGUUACCCACAGAAGAAGCACCGGCUAACUCUGUGCCAGCAGCCGCGGUAA